GGGGAAUAUUGCACAAUGGAGGAAACUCUGAUGCAGCGAUGCCGCGUGAGGGAAGAAGGUUUUAGGAUUGUAAACCUCUGUCUUCAGGGACGAAAAAAGGACGGUACCUGAGGAGGAAGCUCCGGCUAACUACGUGCCAGCAGCCGCGGUAAUACGUAGGGAGCGAGCGUUGUCCGGAAUUACUGGGUGUAAAGGGAGCGUAGGCGGGAUCGCAAGUCAGAUGUGAAAACUAUGGGCUUAACCCAUAAACUGCAUUUGAAACUGUGGUUCUUGAGUGAAGUAGAGAUAAGCGGAAUUCCUAGUGUAGCGGUGAAAUGCGUAGAUAUUAGGAGGAACAUCAGUGGCGAAGGCGGCUUACUGGGCUUUAACUGACGCUGAGGCUCGAAAGCGUGGGGAGCAAACAGGAUUAGAUACCCUGGUAGUCCACGCCGUAAACGAUGAUUACUAGGUGUGGGGGGACUGACCCCUUCCGUGCCGCAGCAAACGCAAUAAGUAAUCCACCUGGGGAGUACGACCGCAAGGUUGAAACUCAAAGGAAUUGACGGGGGCCCGCACAAGCAGUGGAGUAUGUGGAUUAAUUCGAAGCAACGCGAAGAACCUUACCAGGUCUUGACAUCGUAUGCAUAGCUCAGAGAUGAGUGAAAUCUCUUCGGAGACAUAUAGACAGGUGGUGCAUGGUUGUCGUCAGCUCGUGUCGUGAGAUGUUGGGUUAAGUCCCGCAACGAGCGCAACCCUUACUGUUAGUUGCUACGCAAGAGCACUCUAGCAGGACUGCCGUUGACAAAACGGAGGAAGGUGGGGAUGACGUCAAAUCAUCAUGCCCCUUAUGACCUGGGCCUCACACGUACUACAAUGGCUGUAAACAGAGGGAAGCAAAGCCGCGAGGUAGAGCGAACCCCUAAAAGCAGUCUUAGUUCGGAUUGUAGGCUGCAACCCGCCUACAUGAAGUCGGAAUUGCUAGUAAUCGCAGAUCAGCAUGCUGCGGUGAAUACGUUCCCG
rnacentral:rRNA from 1 species